CCUUUCGUAGCUCAGCUGGAGAGAGCACCGGUGUUGGAAACCGGAGGUCGCAGGUUCGAGUCCUGCCGGGAGAU
rfam:Tistrella mobilis KA081020-065 plasmid pTM2, complete sequence.